GACAGUUUUUUUUUUUUUUUUUUUUUUUUUUU
rnacentral:ribozyme from 1 species